rnacentral:misc_RNA from 1 species
UACGAGAGCCCCAAGCGUUAUCCGGAAUCACUGGGCGUAAAGGGUGUGUAGGCGGCGUAAUUAGUCUUAUGUUAAAGCCCAAGGCUUAACCUUGGAAUCGCAUAGGAAACGGUUACGCUAGAGAGUAUGAGGGGUUAAGGGAACUCAUGGUGUAGGGGUGAAAUCCGUUGAUAUCAUGAGGAACACCAAAAGCGAAGGCACUUAACUGGCAUAUUUCUGACGCUGAGACACGAAAGCGUGGGUAGCGAAUGGG